UACGAAGGGGGCUAGCGUUGCUCGGAAUCACUGGGCGUAAAGCGCACGUAGGCGGCUUUUUAAGUCAGGGGUGAAAUCCUGGAGCUCAGCUCCAGAACUGCCUUUGAUACUGAGAAGCUUGAGUCCGGGAGAGGUGAGUGGAACUGCGAGUGUAGAGGUGAAAUUCGUAGAUAUUCGCAAGAACACCAGUGGCGAAGGCGGCUCACUGGCCCGGUACUGACGCUGAGGUGCGAAAGCGUGGGGAGCAAACAGG
rnacentral:rRNA from 1 species